UACAGAGGUCCCAAGCGUUGUUCGGAUUCACUGGGCGUAAAGGGUGCGUAGGCGGUCGGGUAAGUCUGAUGUGAAAUCUCACAGCUUAACUGUGAAACUGCAUUGGAUACUAUCCGGCUCGAGGAAUGGAGGGGAGACUGGAAUACUUGGUGUAGCAGUGAAAUGCGUAGAUAUCAAGUGGAACACCAGGGGCGAAGGCGAGUCCCUGGACAUUUCCUGACGCUGAGGCACGAAAGCCAGGGGAGCAAGCGGG
rnacentral:rRNA from 1 species